UACGAAGGGGACUAGCGUUGUUCGGAAUCACUGGGCGUAAAGCGCACGUAGGCGGCUUUGCAAGUCGGAUGUGAAAUCCCUCGGCUUAACCAAGGAAGUGCAUCCGAAACUGCAGAGCUUGAGUACUUAAGAGGAUCGCGGAAUUCCCGGUGUAGAGGUGAAAUUCGUAGAUAUCGGGAGGAACACCAGUGGCGAAGGCGGCGAUCUGGGAAGAUACUGACGCUGAGGCGCGAAAGCGUGGGGAGCAAACAGG
rnacentral:rRNA from 1 species